GGGCCCGCACAAGCAGUGGAGUAUGUGGUUUAAUUCGACGCAACGCGAAGAAUCUUACCAAGGCUUGACAUCCCUAGAAUUCUUCGGAAACGAAGAAGUGCCUUCGGGAACUAGGUGACAGGUGGUGCAUGGUUGUCGUCAGCUCGUGUCGUGAGAUGUUGGGUUAAGUCCCGCAACGAGCGCAACCCUUGUCGUUAGUUGCCAUCAUUAAGUUGGGCACUCUAGCGAAACUGCCGGUGACAAAUCGGAGGAAGGUGGGACGAUGUCAAAUCAUCAUGCCCCUUAUGUCUUGGGCUACACACGUACUACAAUGGUCGUUACAAAGGGUUGCCAAAUCGCGAGAUGGAGCUAAUCCCAAAAAACGGUCUCAGUUCGGAUUGUAGGCUGAAACUCGCCUACAUGAAGCUGGAAUUGCUAGUAAUCGCGGAUCAGAACUGCCG
rnacentral:rRNA from 1 species